GUGUGUCGUGCUAUCGGUAAGCAGAGUAUAAGACCUUUGAGACGCGAAAUUUAAAGUAUUAUGCUCCGUUUAUCGUUGGUGCGGCGCGAAACGAGC